rnacentral:lncRNA from 1 species
AUAUUUACAAGUGGAAUUCAAAGACUUUACUAUCUCAGAUAAUCCUUGAAGCAACACAGUCCUUGAAGCAUGAAUCUUUUCUAUAGGAAUGGGGACAAAAUGACUGUCUACCCUCACUUGACGACAGGGCUAGAGAGCUCACCACUUGCUGCUUCCCAAGUUCUGAUCAUCUGAAUAAAGUGCCUGAACAAAGACAUAAUGAAGUUGGAGGAAACCCAGAGAAUUAAGACAAUCAGAAUUAAGACAAUGGGAGCAGAAUGACAGUAGAAAGUAAUUCUGCUUUACUCAGUAUAUAGAAAAUCUAUCCAGCACGUUUAUCUACAAAAGAAGAAACUGGUUAAAAUUAAUUUUAAAAAAGUCCAAAGGUCUUUCUGGAAGAGAAAAUAGAAGUGAAAUAAGAAAAAAGAAACUACUUUCUGGAUUGUACAGAUUUUCAAGGAGGACCAGCUUCUCUGAUUCUAAAUAUCAUUGUGGCAGAGAAAAGAGGAGCAACACAAAGAGAUGAGAAGCUAUGAUUUUUCUAUCAUUAGUUUUUAUACUACAAUCAAUCCAAAACAGAGAUCAUAUCCCUUCUUUAACCCUCUUUUCCUCAAUAUAGCUAAAAUUUGUUCUUCGA